rnacentral:lncRNA from 1 species
CAAAACAUCAAAUAAGGGAGUACGUAUACAUUAAAACAGCUUAAGGCAAUCCAAAACAGUCAUGAAAGCCUGCCAAGUCUUGAACAUGAAACAAAUGGUAAAUACAUAUGCUAUGCGGACAAUCUUGCAGAUGGAAUGGCAUGAACAAACCAGCACUAAGUUAUCAAUUAACCUGCAAUACAACAAAUGAUUUAAAUGUGAUCAAGGGUUACUGUGUCUACAAUAACAUACCCAAAUUAGGUUUACCAUAACAGUUGUCAAUUUACCUUAAACGCAUUCAGUAACUUAUAGGACAGAAA